AGGGGCAGAGGGCUAUUCUCUAGUGUCUGAAUCUGACAGCACUCAAACUCGCCUCCCCUCCACAUGCAUAGACCACAGUGGCUCUUUAUGUCCCAUUCAAGACCUGCCUUUGUUCUUUCCACUCAUUCUUAAGUCGUUAACCCUUUCUUCAGAAACUGGCCCCAUUUGUGUAGCACGCAGCCACGGAUUCCCCCUGUUCUUUAUUCCAAGAAUUUGAAAUGCGCUGCCUCAUUGUGUUACAGAAGCACAAAGGGCUGCCUGCAUGGUGAGGGAGCUCACCGCACACUGGGGUGCCUUUAAGUUCAGGAAAGGAAGAAACAUGGGCAGACUGAGAUGGUUUGCUUGGCUGCAAGGGGGUCACUGAGCAGGGUGGAUGAUAUCUUUGGUAAGUGGCUUUGAGGGAAACGUGAUUCUCUCAAACCUAUCACCAUUUUCGCCGCCGCCGCACCGUUAAAGCGGCACCUGUCAAGGCCUACCAGAGGAAGGCUGCCAUCUUGCGUGGAGCUGGGGUACAGCAAGAAAUUUAUCCGGGAUCACUGCCGCUCGGCAGAAGACGAGUGAGGGAGUGAGCUAGCUGCAUUCUUCCUCACCGGGGGCUGCGGUCUCCGUUCAUGCAUGGGCAGGCUUCACCUUGUGACAGAGAACGUCUGGGUUCUUGGAGGUAGGAUUCUCUCACAUCUCCUUCAUGACAAGCUGAGAAUUGAUGUCUGCUCUCCUGUUGAGUACCACAUGAACAGCAUAGUAGUCUGUUGA
rnacentral:lncRNA from 1 species